rnacentral:rRNA from 1 species
AACGAACGCUGGCGGCGUGCUUAACACAUGCAAGUCGAACGCGAAAGGGACUUCGGUCCUGAGUAAAGUGGCGCACGGGUGAGUAACACGUAGGCAACCUACCCUUCAGUGGGGGACAACAGAGGGAAACUUCUGCUAAUACCGCAUACGGCCUUGUACUGGGAUGUACGAGGAGAAAGGAUUUAUUCGCUGAGGGAUGGGCCUGCGGCCUAUCAGGUAGUUGGUGGGGUAAAGGCCUACCAAGCCUGCGACGGGUAGCCGGACUGAGAGGUCGACCGGCCACACUGGAACUGAGACACGGUCCAGACUCCUACGGGAGGCAGCAGUGGGGAAUAUUGCACAAUGGCCGCAAGGCUGACGCAGCAACG